rnacentral:tRNA from 1 species
GCCCCCGUAGCUCAGUGGAUCAGAGCGUCGGACUUCUAAUCCGAGGGUCGCAGGUUCGAGUCCUGCCGGGGGCG